AUAAAUGGGGGAGAAGGGACAUAUCUUCCUUAAAAAGGUUUUCAAAUAAUCUAUGUAGAUACUGUCACCUCUCUCUUUCCCCCAGUAGAUGGAGCUUAAUUUCUCUUACAUUAAGAAUGAGCUGGACUUCAUGACCUACUUCCAAAGAAUAUAGGAUGGAAAGGAAAAGUUAGUAACACUACAGUGAAGAAACCUGACGGAUGCCACCUAAACCAAGUGCCUGAGGUUGACAACACCAGUGAAUUACUUCAGGACCCCACCAACUGGGCAGCCUGGUAGGAUGAACACAGGAUAACUGAGAAAGAGAGGGUGGAGAAACUACCAACACGCAGAGCUGAUAGAGGAACACAGGACUAGCACGGGGCCACCAAGACCCUGAGGAUUC